CCUACGGGUGGCAGCAGUGGGGAAUAUUGGACAAUGGGGGCAACCCUGAUCCAGCCAUGCCGCGUGUGUGAAGAAGGCCCUCGGGUUGUAAAGCACUUUCAGUGAGGAAGAACGCCUGGUGGUUAAUACCCAUCAGGAAAGACAUCACUCACAGAAGAAGCACCGGCUAACUCCGUGCCAGCAGCCGCGGUAAUACGGAGGGUGCGAGCGUUAAUCGGAAUUACUGGGCGUAAAGCGCGCGUAGGUGGCUUGAUAAGCCGGUUGUGAAAGCCCCGGGCUCAACCUGGGAACGGCAUCCGGAACUGUCAAGCUAGAGUGCAGGAGAGGAAGGUAGAAUUCCCGGUGUAGCGGUGAAAUGCGUAGAGAUCGGGAGGAAUACCAGUGGCGAAGCCGGCCUUCUGGACUGACACUGACACUGAGGUGCGAAAGCGUGGGUAGCAAACAGGAUUAGAUACCCCUGUAGUC
rnacentral:rRNA from 1 species